UAUGUAUAUCUGUGGUCGGCACGUCUGGUAGCAUCUCUGGCUGCUGUUGAUCUUGUUUUUGGAGUAAAACACAGUGGAAGCUGAAUUAGUGAGGAUGACUCCUGCUCCUGUCAUCUCUAAGCUCCUCACACAUCUUUACCUGCACAUGAGGAAAAUCACUCCUGUAGAAUGCAGAUGUUCAGAGGGAGAUGAUGCCACAUCUGGUCCAGCUGAUGGAAGGUCUUGAAGUUCUCUGACUGGCCUCGACUGAAGAUGGUCGUCUCACUGGAUUUAAGGUUCAGAUGCUCAGUAACAAACUCCACCAAUGUGCCAACAGGGAAGCUUUAGGUUUAUUAAAUGUUGCUAUGAAGGUUUCGCUGUUUUUCUUUGUGAAUGCAAUGUGCUCCAACUGAAACUUGAAUUAGAACUUAAAAGUAAAUCCUUCCAUCUGAAAGGAUUUAGUUGCAUUAAUAACCUCAUAACAUUCUAAUUUUUAUUCCAGUCUUGGUUGGAAAUAGAAUCUCUGUAUUGAUUCAGGUAAAAACUGAACUUCACAGCAUGUUGAAGCAAAACAACCAGAUGAAAACUGUGAUGGUGUUGGAUUGUCAGACCGUAAUGUUGCAGCUCAAAGCAGCUUUUCUAUCUCAGUUCAUUCUGACAUUCAGCUAUGAAUCAACACAGCAGAUGGUGAUCCAUGCUGUGGAAGUCUCACAUCUCCUGAUUUAAUGGAGCUGCUUUGCACUUUUUACACUGUUUAUUCACCAACACUUUAUUUAAUAAAAGUCCCAUCUAGUUUUUAUGAGGAAUGUGAUGUUUUAAUUUCUCUGUGAAUAACUGCAGUCUAAUGCAACAGCUGGAGUUGUAACAUCUGUCCUGAUAUUGAUCAUGAAGUAUUGAUCAGAAUACUUAUGGUUAGCAGUCAUCCCUGAAGUUUUACAUUAAAAUCUUUACUUGUGUUGUGAACUUUGGUAAGAAACAGAAACGUUAGCGUUGCCAUGGAUAUAUGAGUGUUAAAUUCUGCCCAUGUUUCCAUUUUGGGAAAUGCAGUCCAGUUCCAGAAUGUGGAGGAAUUUAGUCUCACAAUCGCAGACAACAAAUAUUAUCUGAAAGUCGGGUUAUUGUUGUUUAUCAGCACAAUACAAAAAGAUUAAUGUUAGAAAUAUUCCAGUUAAGACUCUAGAAUAUCAUCCAUCCAUCCAUCCAUCCAUUAUCUAUACACCGCUUAAUCCUCACUAGGGUUGCGGGGGGGCUGGAGCCUAUCCCAGCUGACUCGGGCGAAGGCAGGGGACACCCUGGACAGGUCGCCAGUCUGUCGCAGGGCCACAUACAAAGACAAACAAGCACUCUCACAUUCACACCUACGGUGUGAUUUAGAAUAAUCAAUUAACCUCAGCAUAUUUUUGGACUGUGGGAGGAAGCCGGAGUACCCGGAGAGAACCCACGCAUGCACAGGGAGAACAUGCAAACUCCAUGCAGAAAGAUCCCGGGAAAGCCGGGACGCGAACCAGGGACCUUCUUGUUGCAAGGCGAAAGUGCUAACCACUACGCCACUGUGCAGCCCUCUAGAAUAUCAUGAUUUAUGUAAAUUUACCUCAAUAAUAUGAAUGUUCAGGUUAAGAUUGUACAGUGAUAUUUAUAAUGUAAGUUUAGCUGCUUAAAGUUUAUGACUCUGCACUAAAAUAUUAUUUAAAUUGACAUCAUUAUUAUAAUAUUUAGGGUCAGACCCUACAGUAUUGAGAUUAAGAAAUCAAAUAUUCUAUAAAAUGUAAAUACACUGAACUCAUUUGGAUAUAUUUAAGUGAGACUCUACAAUAUUAUUUGACACAAAUCUAUCUAAAUCAAAAUUUUAAUAAUUUUCACACCAAACAUUUACUGGACUGAUUUAAAUAUUAAAAUCACUCCUUUCUAAUCCUCUGCUGUACGUUCAAACCUGAGGCCUUAAAUAGAAACACACAAGUAUCUGAUUGAAGGAACUUCUGCAGAGUCCUGGUUCUACAACAUGAUGAUAGAAUUAUAGACAAACUUUAACAAAAGCUGCCUGAGAGUUUACAGGUUUUUAUGUUAGAUUUCUUCAGUAAUUUAAUGAGAGUUAUCAGCAAAAAUCAAGUGUUCAUUUGAUGAACUUGAUUUCCUAAAACAUCCAGAAUUGAAGCUCAUAUCUUUGGCAGCUGUAAAGUUUCUGCUCCUUCAAAGUUCACAACACAAUGAAUGAAUUCCUAAAACACUCUCAAUGCUGGAGAGCGUUUGUGAUGCUGAAGCAGUGAUCAGUUUUUCUGUUUCUUCUCUGGAGAUGCACAAUGAGGGACGUCUGCAGAGACUGAGAAAGAGUCUCACCACAUCCUGACAUGAGGAAAAAGACUUUAUUGAAGACUACAAUGAGAAAAACUAUCAGACAGCAGACGGCUGCAUUCAAGUCUGUAGCUGCUGAAUUCAUGGAUGAAUCAUCUGGCACUAGAGAAGAAGACCAUCAAACAUCCACAUCAGCUGAUGGAGGUCCAAGAGUCUCACCAAACAAACAACCUACAGAGUGAAGACCUCCAAUCUGAUUGGACGGCCUCCUAUUCAGCCACAUUUUAGGCUGUUAGAUUGUUCCAGAUAAGACAAGUACAAGAUUCUUCAGAGCCGUUCUACCACGAGCCUGACAGGAAGAACUCCAACAGCUACUGAAUGUUCCUGUGGUCCCCUCAAGGCUACAGGAGGAGCCCUACGAGGACGAGCCGGUCCACCUGAUGGAGGCCAGUCGCUGCGGUUCAAAGGCAACACCGACUACGUGGACUUCUACUGGACCACACGGAGGCCUUCAAACCGGACCAACAAGUUCAGCGACUCCCCGACUCGUGGGUCUGAGGACGCUGCCGAGCCUCGGUCCAGCCGGCCUCCUGUCUGUGGGUGUUUGAGUGCUGAGAGGUUUGUGGAUGCAUGUGAACGUGUCUGUGUUGAAACAGCAGCUUUGGACUCACUAACGCUGGGAAAAACCAAGAGCUCCUUUAUUUGUGACUUCCACUAAAAAACUGAUGAAAAUAAGUUUGCCAGGGUUCUGACUGAUAACAGAUUAUUAAAUAAUGAAAAUAAUUGUUUAAAUAUUCCUUUAAACAAUCCUUUUAUGUCUACAUUUCCUUUACACUGACUUCUUGGUAUAUGUACAAGUAUUUUGGGUGGAAUAUACCAAUAAGCCUGAUGUUCAAAGGUUCUUCUGGGAAUAUACCAUUAAACCAACCUUUUAGGUAAAUGUUCCAGGAUGUUGAGUAGAAUAUACCAUCAGAUCAACCUUUUAGGUCUACAUUGGAAGAUUUUAGAGUAGAAUAUUAUUCCAAACCAUCCUUUAGGUCUACAUUUAAGGUGGAAUACUCCUUUACACCAAGAUUUUUUUGGUCUACAUUGAAGGAUUUUAGGUGGAAUAUUCCUUUGAAUGAACUUUUUAAGUUUAUGUUAAAGGAUGUUGGGUGGAAUAUACCAUCAGACCAACCUCCGAGGUCUACAGUAGUGAAUUUUAGGUGGACUAUGCCAUUAAACUCACCUUUUAGGUCUACAUUGGAGGAUUUUAGGUGGAAUUUUCUUCCAAACCGUCUUUUAAUCUACAUUUAAGGAUGUUUAGGAUGGUAUAUUCUUCCGAACCAACUUCUCAGGUCUACAUUUCAGGUGGAAUAUUCCUCCAUUCUAACUUUUUUGGUCUACAUUGAAGGAUUUUUUCUAAACCACCCUUUCGGGUCUAUAUUUGAGGUUUUAGGUGGAAUAUUCCUUUUAACCAGCCCCUCAGGUCUCUUUGAGGAUUUUGGAUGGAAUACUCUGUUAAACCAACAUUUUAGGUGCAUGUCCGAGGAUUUUUGGUGGAAUGUUCCUUUAAGGUGGAUGUUUGAGGACCUUGUAGGUGGAAUACUUCCUGAAACCAAACUUUUAGGUCAACAUUCAAAGAUUUAAGGUGGAAGAUCAUUAUCAAGUGAGAAACCUCAAUCCAGACUCCUCAUAAUGACGUUUGAGAUUUAUGCUGCUGUUACUUGUUUAGUCCAGACUAAAUGACAGAAAUCCACAACUGUAAUUUUAUUUCAGGACUCGGUUAUUAAAUGUCAAAACAAUCCAUGUGACUCUAAAAACUCAACAGCUGUACAAACUCUAAGAUUAAACUCUCCACAAGGAUCCAAAAUAAGUUGGACUUCUACAUGAGAGCUUGAAUUAUUCUUCAUCUACUUCCUGAAAAGUUUGGUCAAUAAAAAAGAUGAAAACUAAUAUUUUCAGCUGAACUAAAGGCAGACUUUGUGAUUUUUCUACUCACAUGUUGUGUUGUUGUAAACUUACUCUUUCAAAUAAAUAGCUGCCUAACCCCCUGGAAACCAGCGUUUGUCCUGUUUUUGUGUUGCUCCUCGGCGACCCUAGACAGCCGGGUCAUAAUGUUUUUUGAGCAACACACCAUACUAUGACAUUUUUAUAAUGAUGGUUCUACUAUGGAACCAGUUUGACAUGUUCAGGUGUUCUUUGUGUGAAAACAGAUUUCAGGUAUCAGAAGAUGGUUUUCAACUUUCUUUGUUAACUUUCUGCCUCAACUUUAAACUAAAUUUCCUUCACUAACCCAGCCCUCUGGACUUCCAGUAAGCUGUGUUCCUAUUGGCUGUCCAGGUGGCUGCUUGGUGUUAUCAGGAACACCUGAGCAGCUCAGUGCCUUCCUGCUGUAUGUGGCUGCAGACAAACAUUUCCUCUGCUUCUCUUCACCAUUGAACCGGGUUUGGCUCUAUUGCUUUAGUUUGUUCUUUAGGCGUUGGCUUGCAGCUUCCAGCAGUAAAAUAGGCUUUAAUGUGUUUCUUGGUGUGUUUUAGGGCUUUGUACUGGAUAGUUGUCUUGGUAAAUGUGGUUCUUUAGCCACAGUUAGCACAUGGUGCUAAUGUGUGCAGUGAUUAGUGGAUUUGGUGCAGCUGAGUUGUGUCUUUGUCUUGGCUGUAGUGAGUCUUUAGAGGUUUUUGGUCAGACACAUUCUGAAUUCUUGUUUGUGAACCAUCGUUGGUUGUCCAGAAGGUAAGAGUUCCUGUCCUGAUUCUCUGUUCUCAGAGGUUCUCUGGUAGGCUGCAGGAGACUUUAGCGUUUGGGUUUUGCUAGUUUGGUUUUUUUACGGUUUCAUUUGGACGACUAUCUUGAGGCCCCUCCAUGUGGUUUAGUGAGGUUUUCUGCAACAGUUCUACAAAGCAACCUGCAGCAGAAGAGACUUUGAGAGUUUUUAGGAAGUUCUGGAGAUCAGACUUUAGAGCAGCAGAAACAUUUGUCAGCAGUUUGAGCAGGAGAAGGUGAUCUUCAGAGUAGAAAUGAGAUGGAAACCUUCUUGACCCGUGUGGUGAGGUCCUGUAUCAAGAGUUUGAGCAGGUUGUGAAGAGUCUGUAGUUCUUUGGUCUGAAAGCACAAGAAGAGUCGACUCAUUAAAGGAGAAAACGGGAGAUAUUGUUGGUUCUUCUGUCGCUCUGCAGUUUCCUUAGACUGAAUAUCAAGUUUAUAUUUUAAAUGAUUUCCCAUGUGAGCCCAAGAAGACUUCAAUAAACUCCCUCCAUCCCCUGGACACAACAGAUUUUAUUACCAUGUUAAAUCUUUUUUUUGAAAUGUUUUUGAGUUUUAAUCACAAUUUUAGCAUAGUUUUUUCUCUUUGCUUGUUUAGUUUUGUCAUCUGUGUAAAAGGUGCAAAACAAAUAAAGUUGAAUUGAUAAACUGA